ACUUUCAAUUCAUUUCAAUCAAAGAUCUUCAAGUUUUACGAUCCAUGAUCGUUGGAAUGACGAGAGUCAGUUGGCCGAACCGAUGAUGGAUUAAGGAUAAUGGAUGUUUUGAAUCUAAAGUUUCUUUCGUGUAUUUUGUUCAAGGAAUGUUUCCAUCUAUUUCUCUUAAAGUAUCAUGUAUAAAUUUUGUACAUGACAUGAUGUAAUAUGGUAUUAAAAGUAAAUUAUGUGAAUA